AUAGGGUCGAAAAGUCCUUGCACGCCUGUGCUUGCACAGAGGUGUGCAAGACCUUGAGACCCGCCCGACAUGAGCAUAAAAGCGGAGCGAAGCUUCGCGAUAUGCGAAUGGCGGGGAGAGGAUUGUGGGAGCUGCUUUGCAGCGGAGCAAUCCGG
rnacentral:sRNA from 1 species